CCUCUAUCAAAGAUAAAAAAGCAGAGCGGCUUGAAGGAAGUCCAGUGAAGAAGAAGAGGAAUGAAUUCUUCGUUGAUGUUGAGACGCUUCUUCUGCUUCAACGCAUCAUCAUCAUCAUCAUCAGCAACCACAACAGCUUGUGCUUCGAAGAAGAAGCCUCUCGUCUUCUUGGGCUCUCCUCAGGUCUCUGCUACUGUACUCGACGCUCUCUUCAACGCUUCUUCCUCACCCACCUCCCAUUUUGAGGUUGCAGCAAUUGUUACCCAGCCUUCUAGAAGAGAUAGGGGUAGAAAGGUUCUGCCUACUCCGGUAGCACAGUUUGCUCUUGAGAGGGGCUUUUCGUCUGACCUCAUUUUCACACCCGAACGGGCUGGAGAGGAUGCGUUCUUGACCAGUUUAAGAGCUUUGCAGCCUGAACUUUGCAUAACUGCAGCCUAUGGGAAUAUUUUACCAAGCAAAUUCCUCAAUAUUCCACCAUUGGGAACAGUGAACAUACACCCUAGUCUGCUGCCGCUGUACCGUGGUGCUGCUCCUGUUCAAAGAGCAUUGCAGGAUGGAGCUAAAGAAACAGGAGUAUCAUUAGCAUUUACUGUGCGUGCACUUGAUGCUGGACCUGUUAUUGCCUGUGAAAGAAUGGAAGUCGAUGAUCAAAUUAAGGCACCAGAUUUAUUAGCAUUAUUAUUUUCUGAAGGAUCUAAACUUCUGAUUCGUGAGCUUCCCUAUGUAUUGGAUGGCUCAGCAAAGAUGAAAGCACAGGCCCAAGAUGAUUCUAAAGCUACCUUGGCACCAAAGAUAACUCCUGAGGAGUCAUGGCUGUCCUUCGAUCAAGAAGCUUCAAUCCUUCACAAUAAGGUUCGUGCAUUUGCAGGAUGGCCAGGAACCCGAGCUAAAGUAGCUGUUGUUGAUGACAGAAACAGUGAGCAAAAUAUCAUAGAACUCAAGAUUAUCACCACAAGAGUCUGUGCUCAUAGCAAAAUUAAGGCCAAUGAAGUAGAUGGCAUCACUUUCAGAAAGGGUGCGCUGGUCAUUCCAUGUGGAGGGUGCACAGCUCUCGAGGUGUGGUAUUGGAAGUUCAGCUUCCUGGUAAGAAGGUGGUAAACGCUGCAGCAUUUUGGAAUGGUUUGCGAGGUCGAAAACUGAAGAUAAUAUAGCAGAGGUGCAUCUAUAGUGCAAUUUAAAAUGAAAGGGGAGAUUCAGGCUAAGCAAAGUGUAUCUGUUCCAAUUUCAUCGGAUAUGUGUAUUGCAAGAGAACUUUAAGUUCCUAAACAUUGAACGGCAGCUUCAACAACAAGGCAGUUGGCAAUCUUGGGGUUUUUCUUUAGUGGAGUUUUUUGUUUGGCAUUU